UAUAUAAAUAAAUUUUCUUAAAAAAAUAAUAAGUUUGUUUCUCUCUCCUGUGAAAGACUAAAGCAAAUACUGGAGGUGGGUAGGUGGCUCUGUCUCACAGGUCUUUAGCAAGCCCGGCUGCCAGUGGUUUUGCCAUCCUCAAUACACAACCUCUAAGGUGGCCCUGACCUUGAUCAUGUCAGCCAAGGAAAGGCGACAAGGUCAAAGUCCAGGUCAGAUCUUUUUCUCCCAAGUACAUGAGGCGGGAGCUGCACUGUUGCGCAUCGGUCCUUGUCUGAAGAGUGGUCAUGUGGCUUGUCAGCUGCUGGCCUGGGGAAUGCAGUCUCCUCCUGGGUCCAGGAAACAGAGGAGAGCAGAUUUGGCUGGACAAGUAGCGCUGCUGGACAAGUAGCUUUGUCCAUCCCAGAGUAGGCAUACAGAUCUGAGGCCCUCAAGUCUAGUGCUAGCUGAUAAUUACUCAGCAUUGCCCUUUUUUUAAAGGAGUGUGAUAAAGCCUUGUGAUAAAGCCAAAAAGGAGGAUGUCAUUCUAACAGGGCUUGGAUCUCUAUGUUAACUGCAGACAUUACAGUAAAGAAUCUGCCUGCACUGUGGGAGACCCAGGGAUCAAACCCACGCCUCUUGAGUCUCCUGCAUUGGCACGUAGACUCUUUACCACUAGCGCCACUUGGGAAGUCAAAAAAGUGUUUGUUUCUCAGUCUGUCUGAUAUCCCAAUACAAAAUAAAACGCUUUUUAAAAAUAAUUAAGAAAAUAAAAUGUUGGCCAUCAUAAGGGACUUCCCUGGUGGUCCAGCGGUUGCAACUUGACCAUCUGGUGCAGAGGGUGCCAGUUCAAUCCCUGGUUGGGGAGCUAAGAUGGCCAAAAAACCAAAAUAUUAAAAAUGGAAGCAACAUUGUGACAAAUUCAAUAGAGACUUUCAAAAAUACUGGCCAUCAUAAAGACUCAUCCUGCCAGCUCUUGCUAUUUUGCUGCAGGUACAAGCUGCUUCCCAAUCUUGUAUUUUAUCUUCCCAACACUUACUUGUUCAGAUGCAUUCCUUCUCUUCCUCCUGCUGCUUACCAAACAGGAAGACUGACUUUGCCCAUUAAAACUCUUAAUGGCAAAAUCACAUUAAGUGCCUUAAUUGUGUUUCCGUGGUGUCUUGGGUCUGUGUGUCCUCGUGAUGAAAACAUAGAGUAGCAGUGGCCGUCUCAAAGGUCUGUUCCUAUGAUGGUUCCAUUUUGUUAGCUUUUGUGUCACCCCAGAUUUUGAAAUUCUAAAGAAAUUUGAUUUUAAAAAACAGUCUUGUUAAGACUCUACUUUUCAUUCUGGGCACUGAGGGUAUUCCUUGCUGUUUUUCAUAGUGUAGGCUUUGGCUGUAAAUGUUUGGACAUCAGCUCAGAACAUCGUCUCCGAGGGAACAUUUUGCAAGUGUUAUCUCCUUGUUCACAGGAAUCCAAGGUGGACCUAGCGGAGAAUUGUUUAGUGAUAGAAACUGAAAUAGCAAUAAAAAGAGGGAUGGCCAAAUUAUGUAAAAUCAGAGUGCAUGAAUAAUUCAG
ensembl:lncRNA